rnacentral:lncRNA from 1 species
AGGAGGAAUACUCUUGAAAGAAUUGUGCUCUUGUUUUCCCGCUCAUUUGAAGGGCUCAGAAGGAUUCAUUCAUGCCUUGUUGCCUAGAUUAUAAGCUUCGAAAUUUGGUUAUAGGAUUUCUUUUUUGAUUUUCUAGAAUUUCACAAAACAAAACAAAUAGAAGGAGCUUUCCUUUUUUUUUUAAAUGAUUUUUCCCUUAAUUUUCCAUUGAAUGAAUUGUACCCUGAAAAUCUUAUAUGUGCCGAUGUUGCUUCUUUAAGACUUUGUGUUGCCUAGGUUGUAAUACAGUAGUAAUUCUUGUUAUAUUCUUUCCAGAGAUGACCUGGGUAAGGAAGGGAUUGGCUGGUUCCAAGACUUGGGCAUAUUCUUUAGCUAGUCAGGAGUCUGUCUUUUGCUUUCUCUGUAGAUACGUGGACUUGUUAUUUCACAGAUGUUUUGUACAUUACGAGAUCCUCUUGAGUAUAUCUCCAACAAUGUUUUGGCAUGGCGUUAUAGCGAAACCUUGUGGCUAGUUGAAUCAUCUAUGCAGUAACUUGUCUACCUCGCUAAACAUUUCAGCGUCAUGAAGUGAAUGCCUACUUGCACUUUAGGCCUGUUUUGGAGUUAUGUUUACCAUUUUCAAGUGCAAAUUAACAACUCCAAAUUACAACAUACUUGUAAAAUUACAGUUGAUAGAAGACUUAGAAACUCCUGCUUUCCUCUUUCUCCUUAAAUUCGCAUGAAAUCGUAGGAAUUACACAUUUCCUUUUGUGUCUCAAGCUAACUUAUUUCCUCUCUUCUUAUUCCCCCACCCCACUCUUUUUUUUGAAUAAUGAAAAAAUAGCUCCUAAUCUGAAUAAAUCUGUAGUAAUUAUACAAUAGAAGACUGGUCGUCAUGAGUCAUUGCUUACAUCUUCCUUUUUUGUUUUUCAUAUCAUAUAGUAUCACAAGCUGGCAAUGGAUCAAUUUGAGAUAGACACGCUUUCGGUGGUUAAUUCACUUCUGAUAUCUAUAAGCGAGAAGGACCUUCUGCACGUCAAGUCUGGUUUAUGUAAUGCCAGCUGCAUCAGAUUUUCCUUGGUGAAGCUUCUGAGGCUUUCUGGUUAUGAUGCUGGUGUUUGUGCAGCCAAGUGGCCUGGCAGUUCCAAGGUUCCUGGAGGUAUAAUCUUGUUCUAAUUUCCAACAUGCAUUUAUAUAGUUGACAUCCAAGAUUUGAAAUUUCAAAAUGUGUUGGAGGGUUUUCUAAGGCAUCUGUAACAUACAACAUACAUCUUGCCUUCUGCACUGAUUCUUGCUAAGCUGGUUGCAUUGUCCAUUUCUCUUACUGCCUUCUAAUUGACAGUGAAUGAAACUCUUCUGUGGUUUGCUGCCAAUGUCUACGAACCUUUUCAUGAAGAAUUUAUUUGGUAAUAAUGCUGGUUCGAUAACAUGUGUUUUUCCAUUCUGGUAUUCAGGGGAUCAUGAGUACAUCGAUGUGGUUAACUACACGAAUGCUGGAAGCUCAAGCUCUGAACGUCUGAUAAUUGAUAUUGAUUUCCGUAGUCACUUUGAGAUUGCUAGAGCUGUGGAGUCCUAUGAUAGAAUGUUGAAUUCACUUCCUGUAGUUUUUGUGGGCUCUUUGACAAAGCUGAAACAUUUCCUUCAGGUUAUGGUUGAAGCUGCUAGAUCUUCUCUGAAGCAGAAUUCAAUGCCUUUCCCCCCUUGGAGAUCUCUUCCUUAUUUGCAAGCUAAGUGGCAGUCUCCCUAUCAAAGAAAGUUUAGUCCUGAGGAACCCAAUGGUUAUGGAGGGUCUUCUUUGGAGCAUAAACAGUGUGGUGGACAUUUGAGGAGACUGCAGUCUGAGCUUGAAAUUGAGCGACUGUUGAAGCCUGUGAAGAGCAAUAAUUGGAAGCCAAAGCCUGACAAUAGGUGGAGGUGCUCCUCGUAUAUGACUCUUUGACAAAUAAAUUCUGGAGGGAGCUAGGAAGUGUAAGUUCUUGCCUGUUUGCAGACCUGACUUGGUAUGUGAAAGAGGUGCUAUGGCUUUCCUCGUUUUGAGAACCAAUUUUGAGGAGAUUCUCUGGGUAGAGUUAGAAGAAGCAUUCUGCAAUAAGAGCAGAGGAUAUGAUAUAGUGGUAUUUAGAUGAAUUUACACAGAGUAUUAGAAUGGGAACAUUUUAUCAUACUCCCAUCUAAUAAUGCGCCCUAUACAGUUUAUCUCAUUCUUUGUGCUCCAGAAGAAAGCAAGAGCGUCAGGUUCUGGAUGUGGUGCAGGUUCUCUCCAUCAUCAACUGCAUUUGCAUCCUGCCAGCUGAAAAUGCUCGCUGGUGGAGCAAGUUUUCUGUUUUGUUGGUUGUCUUUUUAGGGUCUUCUUGCCUCCUUGGAAGGCAAAUUUUGCUCUCUUCUCUUCUGCGGGUUUCCACUUCAAUUGUUAAUUUGAGCUGCUUGUAUUGGUCAUGUUAAGCUUUCUCCGGUGGUCAAAUGAUUUCUUUGACCGUAUCCAUGCUACUUGCUUUCUGUUGCUGCAAAUUGCAAUCAAUCAGUUCCUUUCAUUUUAUUUUAUUUUACUACAUUAAGGGACUGGAAUAUGUGUUACAGAUUGUAGUGAUGGGAAAUGACUUCGGAUAUGGCAAUUCCCUCACUUGGGGGAACCCUUUAUGGGGCAUUUCCUAAUAUGUAUGGUUACCAGGCAUCCAAGGGCAAGUUUCGAGCAUUUGAUUAAAAGCGUUUUACAAUUUACAAAAAAUAGCUACACUAAUGUCUAAGGCGAGCCCAACUAGGGUUUUUACAAAGAGGAUAAACCAGGACUCUGACAUUUGACCUUCGACUAUGUGCAUCAUAUGUUACAGAGAAGGGAAAUUGAAAGGAAAAAUUGACAUUUCACCACCAACUAUAUGGAUAAUGACCAGUUAAUGGGCAACCAAUUCUGCGGAUAUAUUAAGACCCUGUACAUCUCUUAUCUCUUACACAGUUGGAUGCUUUAUGGAUCAAUGCCUAUCUAGUAGAAACAAAAAUCAUUUUUUUUUUGUUUCUGAAAAAAUAGGAAGGAAUUUACUAAAUCCAGAUGCAAUAAAGGACUUCAGGUAAGAUGUAGUUUUUGCCUUAAAUGGAGAGUUAAUUUUGACGAAUUAAGAUGUGGAACGUUUUUUUUAAAAAAAAAUUUUCUAGCCUGUUGGACAUAUAUGUGGGCCUGAAAUUGUCACACCAGGCACGCAAUGCUCUGAUAAGCCUUUGGGCGUCGGACAGCGCAUAGGAUGGGCCAAAGGCUGCUAGUCCAACACUCAAAAAUGGAGGCCGAAGUGGACAAGUAUGCCUCUGAAAAGUCUCAAGACCAAACACGAGGAAAGUCUAGAUUUAUCGUAUGUCAUUUAACAGCCAGAAGUGUAGCCAAACGUCAGUAAUUACCUUUUGAUUGGGCUUGUGAAAUUAGUUUAGGUCUCAGAAAUUAAUAUUCUGCCCAAAAAAAAAUUUAACAGCCCAUGACUUCUAUGCCACCGUAAUGCUCGUUUAGAAUUUUAGAUUACGGUAUGGUUUCUCCAACCAAUUCAAUAUUGCCAAGUUUGAUCAAGAUUUUUUAUUUCUAUCCAAAAUCGAGCAAUUCACUCAUCCUACGCAGCAUUAUAAGACUCCCAUCGUUUUCUUCGCGUCUCCUUCUUGCUGUCCACCUGGACGGCAUUUUCUUUUUUAACUUUUAGAUAAGGCAAGAGAACAUCCUAUCAUAUAAUGAGUAUUGCGGAAAACGCGUAGAAUAUUUGAUGAUUGAUGAGCUAUUAUGCCUCGUCACAUAUUUCCGAAUCACUUACUUUUCCUUUCAAACCGAUGGCUUUUUGAUUCCCGUGUUCUCACUUCGUCACCCAAGCUUAAAGGUCAGCCUCACGAACGUUCCAAGUUCCAACAGACAAAACAACUGGUCUUGUCUGAAACAGAUCAAAAGUGCUGGUAUAAAACGCCGGAGCCAAAUCCAAUAUGCACUAUCCCUCCUGAUUAAAGUAACAUAUAGGAACUAGGGAGGUAGAAGUUAGACCUGGAACCCAUCUCUCCUUCCUGUAUAUCUAUCUCUGUUCCCUAUUUACAUGUAUAAUAACAAAAAUAUGGAGAUGUCCAAGAGGACACCAUCUUCGGCCAUGGCUAUCUUUCUUGUAUUUGCUCUUUUUAUCCAACAUUUCUCAGCAGUGCAAUCGAUAGGUGUUAACUAUGGUACCGUUGCAGACAACCUUCCGCCACCGGCUCAAGUUGUUCAAUUCAUCAAAGACAAAACCUUCAUAGACCGCGUGAAGAUAUUCGAUGUCAACCCCGACAUCAUCCGGGCCUUCGCCAACACAGGAAUCUUGCUCACCGUCACGGUCCCCAACGGAGAGAUCCCCAACCUCACCAACAUCAGAUACGCUCGCAGAUGGGUGAAUGAGCACAUCAAGCCAUUCUACCCGCAAACCAAAAUCAACUACAUUGCCGUAGGAAAUGAGGUCCUCCACUGGGGACCCCAGAAUCUAAUCGACAACCUCGUUGCUGCCAUGAGGACCCUUCACCAGGCUCUCGUCAAGAAUGGCAUCACAGAUAUAAAGGUGACGUCACCACAUUCUCUAGGCAUUCUCGAAUCUGCUAAGCCGCCCAGCCUGGCUAAAUUCAGGCCUGGUUGGGAUGUAGGUGUUUUGGCACCCAUGUUGCAAUUUUUACGCGAAACCAAGUCUCCUUUUAUGGUCAAUCCGUACCCGUAUUUCGGUUUCGACCCCAAGGAGAUUGACUUCGAUCUCUUCAGACCAAACAGAGGAUAUUACGACAGGUUUUCCAAGAGGAGUUACACGAACCAGUUUGAUUUGCUGUUGGAUGCGGUUUUUAUGUCUAUGAAGAGACUGGGAUAUGCGGAUGUGGACAUAGUGGCAGCCGAGACGGGUUGGCCAUCUGAAGGGGAAACAUUUGAGCCACAAUGCACUCCUGCUAAUGCUGCUGCGUAUAACGGAGGAUUGGUGAAGAAGUACAACUCUGGGACUGGGACUCCAUUGAUGCCGCACAGGAAGAUUGAGACGUACAUUUUUGCCUUGUUCAAUGAGAAUCAGAAACCGGGUUCAUUGGCUGAGAGAAGCUGGGGAUUGUUCAGGCCUGAUUUUACUCCUGUUUAUGACGUUGGAAUUAUGCGGGGGGGACAGGUAUGAAAUUCGGACUCUUAUAACUAUUAUUGCCUUAAUUAUGAAGUACUUAUGCCGUCUCUUGAAUUUGAAGUCUUUUCAUAGAUGCCCUUUUUACUAGUACUCCGUCCACGCCUUACCAUAAUGCAAUUAGAAGAUGAAUUGAAAAUCACCCCAAUAUCUGCAUUUAAUUUAUGCGUGUUAAUUCUGCUAUAAUCAAUCCUUCAAAUACGAGUCCUUUCACUGAAGAUUGCCUAUUGAUAAUGAAUUAUGGUAAAGUUCCUCCCUUUACUUUAAACACAGCAUUUGUCUGUUUUGUUAUUGGAAUCUUCAAAAAUUAGGCCGACAUUUGAACAUGGAACACGAAGCAUCGUUUGUCUGUUUUGCUUUUAGGCUUUAGCCUUUAGGAGGAGUAGGGACACCGCAUUUGAACUUUUAUCCCAUUUCAACCUCAUAUGUUUGACAAAAUUACGGGAUAGCGAAAUGUGAAAAAUAGAGGAGUGUGGGGCUCUGGCGAAGGCUACAUCUGUUCCGUGUUGGACUGCUCCGAUUUCCGCGUUGAACCUUGGGACGAUAAAUGAUUCUUCUGACGAAGAUUCAUUGGGUGAAAUUUCAAAUCCAUAAAUGACUAAAUAAAUAAAUAAAUAACUGCAUCAUCCAAUUAAUUAAAAUUUGCAUGUUGUAGUGGUACCAAUGCAAAGCAGAAGACAACUUAGGCUGGAAAAUUUACUAACCGUAAAAAAAAAUGUUUGAAUUAGCAGAAGAAAUUUGAUUCUUCUACUUUGUGGAAUGUUAGAGUCGGAAUGGUUCUAAUCCUCGAUGCCCUCUCUAAAAUGAGUCAGACAGGAAUCUUGUGCUGUUGCCUUUAACCCUUUCCACCUUUACACUUUUGCUUUUUUUUUUUGGCCCUGGGUCUUGGAGGGACCAGUCGGCUAAAUCUUGUCCCAUUUUCUUUUGACCUUCAGAAACAGCAAUCAGAAACUACCCCGAGUACUCUACAAUCUCCCCAUUCAAAGAAAAUGCUAUAGUAUAGUAGUGCAUCAUCUUUUCUCAUUCUUCUGUAGUUAUUUGCUUAGUUGAAAAGAAGUAGGAGUAUUACAGUGACGAUAAAAUUAAGCUCAGCGGUAUGAUGAUGAAUUUAAUUUUGCAGUCGCCACAGCCAGUUCCGGUGCCAGCAGCACCGGCAUUGCAGGGCAAGAAAUGGUGCGUGCCAAAGGCAGGGGCCACAGACGCCGCACUGCAAAGCAACAUAGAUUACGUUUGCAGCCAGGGCUUAGAUUGCAGCCCGAUUCAAGCCGAGGGCGCCUGCUUCAAUCCCAACAAUGUGAGGUCUCAUGCAGCUUUUGUGAUGAACUCAUGGUACCAAUCCAAGGGCAAAGCUGACUAUAACUGUGAUUUCUCUCAAACCGGUUUCCUCACCUCUACCAACCCUAGUAAGUCCCUCUAUUUUUAUUGCUGCUACACAAUUUUCCAUCUCAAUGCUUCCCUCUGAUCAGCAGUUUACCAUUCGUGGAUGGUACUUAGAAUGCUUCGUCUCUGGUUUUUGAAUUUUCAGGUUAUGGCACAUGCCAAUACACCAGCUAGGAUAUCAGUAAUUUGCAACAGGAAGGAGCUGCUGCAUGGAUUUAAACCAAAAUGGCAUCUAAUUUAUUGGGUUCUCCAUUAUUUAUUCAUCUGAUCAUCUCUUAGUCAAUCACUUAAUUAACCUCAAUAUUUAUGUCCGUUCUGUUAAGUAUUGUAUUGGACGAUUCUCUGCGAUAUAGAGUUGUGUGCCGGCUACGUGCAUGCCGAAAAUUGUACCAUAUCAUAACUUAACUUGUAUUUUAUAUGUGUCAGAAUCCGGGAGCGGUUUUUUUCUUUUGUUUGCUUUUCAAACGUUGUUAACUUAUAGAUUUUGGUCUUCAAUUUUGUGUAACGAAUAACUAAGUGGGCGUUAAGAACUAAAGGUGGCCCCGACAGAAGAAAAGGUGCUUAGGAUUCUCUCUUUUUCUUGAAGCAAAUUCUUCAUUUUGAAAUUGGCAUCCAAUGCUUUGAUUAUCUGUAUGCAUGAGUGCAUGCAUGCAUGUAGAUGUAAUAUAUGGAACAAUUAAUGGAGUCUAAAGUUCAUCCUAUAUUAGCAGAGAAUCAAGCUCUCAAAGAAUAUAUACCCAAAACAACCAAAAAAAGCAAAAAAGGAAGAAGAAAACUUGGGAUCUAUAAUUACUCACUGAACCGCUACUGUUGCAAAGUACCUCAAAAAAAGAGAGGGGAUUUUUUUUUGUUGGGGGGGGGGGGGGAUGUAAAAGCUAAACCUGCAAAAUUUCAAUGGGGAAGAAAAUAACAACAAACAACACCAAUACUAUUCACGCCUUAACCUUGACGUCCAGUGCAAAAAUAUCUUUAACGACUUGGGCUUUGUCAGCCUGCAAUUGUGGAUCCCCAUUAUUGUCAAUCUUCAAUUCUGCAAAGAGGAGCUGUAGAAGCUUAUUUCUGUUUGCCACGAGAAUCCCAACAAUCUCUGGGGUCUUAUUUUCAUUAGCAGCAAACAACUUGAAAAUUCGAAGCGCAUCAACUUGAAUGAUCUUGCUGGAGUCCCUGAGAAGAUUCAUAAAAAUCCUCAAAUUGUCCCUCGAACUAACAUAUUGCAACAUGACAUCUGAAUUUGAGCGAUGCAUCAGCAUCUCUCCCAGCAACUUCACGGCUUCCCUUCUGGUAAGGUAAUUCGGAGAUUGAAGCAACUUAGAGUUGUAUUCCACGAAAAACCAAUCAUAAUUUUUGGAUAGGAACUCGGCCACAGUUGAUUUAUGCCUCGUUAACAAUUGCUUAAAAGUUUCGGUAGCGUCAGCAGCAACUUCAUAACGUGCAACUUGCACGUAAUCGAAAAAUUUCUUCAUCAUUAGCUUCGAUUCCAAGACAUGCCUUGCAAGAUCUUGAUGGCGUAUGCAAUCCCUUAGCAUAGAACCAUAGUGUAAAGCCGUGAUCUCCAUGCCAUUAUUCUCAUAACCACCGACCAAAACAUCGAUUAACUCGAGAUUUUGUUCCAAAUAAUCACAAGCAAUAAACCUCGAACGGACCUUUUGCCUAAGCAAAUUUGAAACCAGUAGCGUAGCAUCCUUGCGGGUCUCGAGUUUCAACUUUGGAAGACAAAUAAUUAGAAGGCAUAAGGUAUCUUCCCUGAAGAACUCCUCGGUCAAUUGCGCACAAGCUGAUGCUACGGGUUGAGUAUCACUAUCUCCAUAAAGAAUUAACUUCAAAUCUUCCAAUAGCUUGCCGAUGGUAUUUAUCAUAUUUACUUGGCGUUUGCUUUGGCUUUGGCUUUGGAAAGUGUUUGGCGCAGAAUUGACAUGGCUGAGGAGAUCACGAGUCUGUCGAACUAGGUCAGCAGGGGUAGCCUUAGGUUUCGACUUAAAGAACAAAACACCCUUCAUAAUCUUUUUCAGGCUUUUUCUCGUCCUAAUCCUAAUGUAAAAGAUAACUCAUACGUACGUACCCUGAAUAUGAGAAUCUCCUUGGCAGUUGGCACUACCGCAAGGGCGGAGGACGCUCAACGCGGCGGCGUUGCUGCUUUCUCCAACUGACCAAUUGCAAUGUCCUACUCCUGCUUAUUUACCCUUCUAACUACUCGUAUUUGUAGUUUGCAACUGUGAAAAUUUUAGAAUACAAUUCCAAUUCAAUUUCUGUUGUCGUAAAGAACUAAAGCAAGUUAAAGAAAAACAUUCUUGGAAACGGAGACGUAACUGGUAAUUAGUAUUGCCAAGUUAAAUACUAUAUACAUAGGGGAGGAUUGUUAUGGUUUUUCCGAUUAGGUUUCUGAUCUUGAUAAUUAAGGAUAAGAAGGAAGUGAGGAGGGGUGAGAGGGUUAAAAAAAAAAGAAAAAAAAAAGUUAAAUACAUACAGGAUUUGGAUUGAAUUCUAAAUUAAAUCCAACUGCCAAAGUCAAAUUUACACUACGAAUCAACAGGUAGAUGAAGAUAAGUAUAAAACAUCAUUAUACGUUACGUUCUCUAAAAGGAAAAACACAAGAUCUUAUAGUAUUUUGGAUUGAACCAAUGUUGCAGUUAAGCAGGAAGAACGAGGGCCUAUUACUUCUGCAGCAGGAAGGGAAGCAUCAAAGCUAUAUAAACCCGCUAACUAAACUGCAUUAAUUUUACAAGCCCCAUAUAUGAAGGAAGAGUUUGGAAACAGGAAUUGGACAACUACUCAAAAUCUUGUAUCUUGUGCUCGGCUCUCAUUCCUUCCCUUGGAGCCGGGAGGCCAUAUCUUUGACAUUCCAACUUCCUCUCCAUGUGCUCUUUAAGGACCUUAACGACCAACCCGAAGGACAAAAACACCACACACGCACGACCAAAAACCUACUAUAUAUAAUUUGCAGCUAAUUUGAAAGUUCAUAGCAUAUCUUAAACGCAUUGCUGCAGAUAGAUAGGUAAAUGAUUCAUUUGCUUCUAUUUUCUAGUCUAGAGAAGAGAAAAGUUUUGAAUUCAAUUUUUACUCUGACCUAGCUAGCAGGUAGGAAACUUUUGGUAAUUAAAGACAAUUGCUUGUAUUCAUUGCUAGCCAAUAAAAAGUGCUGAAAGUUACUAUGGAUGGCUAACUCCGGCAUUUUCUUGUUCUUGUUACAAUUUGACGAUUAGCCAGUUUCGAAAGUAGUUCUGACUAAGGUUGAACUCAAGGUGAUAUCAGUUACAACUAUGAGAGUUGAAUAAAUUAGUUAAUAAAAAAUUAAGCAAAUCUCCGUCUUGACUAACACUAACUAUUGUUUUCUGCUUUAAAUUGGGGUGGGUCGAAGCUGAAACUGGCUGUCAGACACAUAUCAAUCUUCGAUCUGAAUAUAAAAGAGCUGCAAUUAGCCAAUUACCAAGUCUGCAGUCCAUUAUAACGCAAUCCCUCCAUCUUAGGGUAGUUUCUUGAUUUUCUCCAUCUCAUCAUAAUACGAACAACCACCUAAUUGAAAAUGGUCUCACAAUUAAACAUUAUAUAUACUUGUACUUUUCUAAUGAGUAAGCUUUCACAUUUUUUAUACUUAAUUUAUCAUAUGAACGUAAGCAUUCACAUUUUUUUUUAUUGCAACGGUAACAUUCUUAUAACCUAAUCUAUCAUAAUUUAGAGAGAGAGGAAGCCAAUGGGAAUAGAAAUUCCAUCGAAGGAAGCCAUUGAAGGCAGUCAUUUAUAGUGACAAUUUGGUGAGAGAAAAAGAUUGGAUUUUUGACCUCCCAACACCAUCAAAAUUUAAAUACUUGGCAGUGACCACCAAGCCGAAGGACUGGUUCCAGAAUUACAUGAUAAUACCUUUUUUCCCCAGGAAUUGAUUUGAGGGUAACUACUUUUAUUGCAUCGGCUAUUGGUAAGCGGUGCGUCGGAAGAAGAAUCUCAUGCAGUCCGUUGGGCUGUCGCUCUAGGACAAUCUGGAGAUGCUUAAACACAGCAAUUUGAAGGAUAUCUAGGCCACCUUCUUGAUCAAGUUUCUUGGAUUAUCGUACACAACGAUUCAGAAUUAAAUGACUUUUGGCCCAUGGGAAGUUGGCACUUAUCAUUCCCGUGACAACAACAUAAGUUUGCUUGGUGUCAUUAAUACGGCCCACCCCAAACAUUAGCUUUAAUAAAUCGAAGGUUACGAAAGAAAGGCAAAAUCCAUUGCCCAUAAAAGACAUGCCAGAGUUUAUAAUAAGUAAUAACGUGUCCUGUGGCCCCUCUGCUGUCUACGAUCAAGAUGUUACUGCUUUUUGGUUGGUCUUCCCAAUUGAUGGAAUAUCUUUUCUCGCGAAAUCAUUUAUGCAUCUGGUGCCUUACGAAUUAAACAAGUUUGUUUGAAGUCUCAAGAUCUGUGGGUUGGCAAUGGCGUUAUGCCACCAUACAUCCCUUUCAAAUCUUAUUCAUAUAUGGCGUAGAGUAUCAGUACUCAAUGAAGCACUAAAGUAGUUCUUCUUCCACUUGUGUGUGCAUCAAUGUUUCGUUAUACAAACACACACACACACACAUAUAUAUAUAUGGACACACAUUUGUACAUAGAAUAAGAUAUCUCAUGGACCAAUUUAAGACAUCAUCUGCUAAAAAAUUAAAUAUUUUAAAACAUAAAUAAAUUUUUAAAAUUAUAAAUUUAAACAAAUAAAUUCAUUUCAAUCGUACCUACUAGGAAAAAAAUCUUAAAUCCUACGCAAAUCACAACCAUAUUCUAUAAUUAAACAAAAUGCAUUGAAACUCUUGAAAUUAAACAAAAUCUAAUAGAACUACAAAAGAAAAUGGCGAUCUUUGAGUUUGAGGGUGAGAAAUAGAAGGAGUUUGAUUACUCUUUUAGAAAUUAGGGUUUCGAACAAAAGAUUCGAUAGAUAAGUUUUAUGUUUAAAACUUUAGGUUCAUUUAAAAAAAAGAUGGGAAAAUGAAAAACUGUGGUCCACGGAUCAAUUCGAGUUAAACAGUUCGAUCGAUUUUUAGCAAUUUUGAUCGAUUUUUUAUAAUAAGUCAACACUAGUAGUGAAUUGAAUCGAAAACUUGACCGAUUCUCGGUCCGAUCGGUCAAUUCGGUCCAAUUUUCAAAACAUUGGUAUGUAUAUGCAAGACGCGGAAGUUAUUCUCCUUUGUUUUAACCUUUUCCAAAUCAUUAAAAAUUAGUCCUGAAAAUAUAUAGAACAUUAAGAGGGUAUUUAAUCAUUAAUUACUAGGGAAAAUGUUGAAGAAAAUACCGAAAAAAAAACUAGUUUCUAGCUUCUACAAAGCCAAGACGGAUUAAAUUGGAGAGCAAGUAGUAUGGUGGUCCGUGUACCUUAGAAAACAAAAAACACGCGCAGACACCCCAUAUGGUAUAUGGUGGUCCUAAUGUUUUCGACAUUCGACUAGACGGCAAUUACCUUAAUAAGAUAUCCAUAAUGGUGGUCCUAAUCCUCAGUAACUGCGCAUAUACCAAAUUAAGAGUGCUAAUAAUCAUUUGUGACCCCGAAAUCUUUAACCGCACAUGCUGCUUCUGGUGUCAUUCAAAUGCUCCACCAGUGCCUUCAGUCUAACAAUUUUUUGGUUUGCGAGUUCAGUGAGAAAAGAAAAAAGAAAAUUAAAAUGCUGAAGUUAGGAAAGAAGAGUAGCACUUUCAGGGCUUUAAAUGCUCACCCACAAUCUCUCUCAUUUCUCUCUGCUUUUUGAGAGAGAGUUUUCUUAGAUUUUCAUCUCUAUAUUUUUCUCAAUUUUUAUUCACUUAAAUCUCUCAAAUGAGGGAAAUGUGCUAAUUUCUCUAAUUUUGUCUUGUCUUCUCUUCAUUUCCUUCCUUCCAAACAAAGUGCUUUGUAAAUAACCAAAUAAAAAAUACAAUAAAAGCAAAAAGGGAUACCAAACCGUCGCACGUAUUUAUAUUAAGAGCUAGGGAGCUAAUUUUAGCACUUCCAUACUUGUAAUUGCCACUUCUGUUGAUUCUAGUAUUCGUGUAAAAUAAUUAAUUUUUUUUAUAUUUACAUUCCACCCAACUUACCAUAGCAUUGCACAUAUUUAUAUUUGUUAUAUUCCCUCUAUUUAGAUUUUUUUCGUAUUAACUACAUUAUUGAAAACAAAAAAAAAAUCAUUUGAACAACAACAUAAGAGGAAAAAGUAAUUGUGUGCGGAUGUGUUUUUUGUAAUUGCAAGAUCGGGGAUAUUCUUCUUUUAUUACAUCUGAUAAAAGUCUUUUUUCUUUUUAAUUUUUUGAAGAGCCGUAUUUAACCAACAUAGGAAUACCAAAAUAUCAAAUUUCAUUAAGAUGGAUUAUUAUUUUGAAUAGAAGUCAAGGAGAAGUAUAGCUAACUUCAUUGGUAUUUUAAUCAUGGAAAACAGAAGAGAAGGAGCGGGAGUUAGGAAUAGUGCUCAGGGUUCCCAAUGGGCACCAUGAGUAGGUGGAGUUUUUGGAAAAUUUGGGUUGAAGGGUUAAUUUGUUGGGUUCUUUUUUCUGACUAGUUUGCUGGGUUUAAUAGUUUGGUGUAUUGUCUUUUGUCCACAUUUUUGUUGGUUUUUAAUACCCUCAUAUGUGCAUUGGAGAUAGUUAAGUAUGAUUGAUUUUAUAGUCUUUUUUGCUUAUUGAAUUCUAAUAGCAUAUAUUGAACAUUUAAAUUUACAACCAUUAUUUCCCAUACAAAAAAGCAUGCGGUGCUAAACGGUAGUGUUAGUGAUAGCGUGCGAUGUUGUGUGUGCAUUUUAAGCGUUGGAUUGAAACUAAGCGUGCAUUUGCAUUUGCAAAGAGGGUUCACCAUUGAUUAGUUUAAUUUUCAUCACAUCGAACUUAUUCAGUAGACAAUUAAUUUUAAAAUUAUGUCAAAUAGAAUUAAGCUCUUAAUAAUUUAGUAAUCUCAUAUAUCAGUUUGUUUGAUGUACCUUUUGAUUGCACGUAGUUUUUGGCUAGUAAUUUUAUUUUAGAAAUUGUACAUGCAAUUAGAUUGGGUACAUGUCUCUCUAUAAAGUUUUGCUGUUCUCUUUCUUUAGGAAUUGUAUAUAUAUAUAUAUAUAUUAGAGGUAUUCUAUAUCGUAGUAUUAGUAAAAGAUAGUGGCUUGCUGAUUACUGAAUACUUCAUUACAUUUCAUAAAUUACAUCCAAAUCAUUAACCAUCAACACAUUCCAGAAAUGUGAGCCCCUCAAACUACAACAUCAAUCGAGCCAGACAACGCGAACUUCAAUUUUCGUGCUCGUCCUUCUUGUAAAUCCCAAUCAAACGAGUUACAUCUCUUGCUAACAUAUUAUUCACAUCACAGAUUCGCAAUUGCGUUUUUGACUUUAGUCAUCGAUUUUAUUUUAUUUUAUUUUUUGGAAUCCACAAAUUCAGUAUACCAGAAACCAACAAUAAAGAACCAAAAUAAAAAAAGAGAGAGAAACCAACAAUAAAUUAUAAAGGAUACAGAAGAGUCACCAAACUAGUAAUAAUUGUUGGACGAUAAAGUUUGUAAAAGCGGACUUUCCUUUUAGAUAGUAGAAGAUACUACCAUAUGCCAUCUCAAUAAAAAAGAGGGAUAAAGGAAAAGGUAUAGGAUUAGCUACAGAGUAUAACAUAUCAUCAAAAGUUGAAGAUUGGUUGCUAGUUAUCAUCAUUUCGCAAAGACCAAAAGCAGUCCAAUCCACCAUCAACGCCGCUUCAACCACUCCUCCUCCUCCUCAUCCAUGGAAGAAAAAGAGAAAAAGAAGAACAAGAAACCAAAACACCAGCACCCGAAUGAUCAAACCUCCAAAUCCACCACCUCGUCAGACCUUGCAUUCAAGCCUAGCUCUGAAGUUAAAGGGCUUCGGUUUGGUGGCCAGUUUAUUGUUAAAUCCUUCACAAUCCGUCGCGCUAGGCCUCUUGAAUUCUUGCGCCUCCUCUCACUUCCACCGACACUCAACCUCAACCACCACCAAAACCAGGAAAAGACAAACGGGAAGCAGCCUUUUCCUUCAACUACCGCUUUCUUGCCGACAAAUUUCACGAUCUUGGCUCACCAUGCAUGGCACACUCUGACGCUUGGCCUGGGGACAAAGAAGUCUAAAGUGGUUGUUUUUGUAUUCGAGUCUGAGAAUAUGAAGGCUGCCGUGGACAGAGUUUGGCCGCCAGAAAUCCCACUCGGGGAAGUAAACAGGAAACUUAUAAGGGGUCAGACCGGAUGCGAAAUGGCUAGAUUUAAAUUCAGGAAAGGUGCCAUUACAUUUUAUGUUUAUGCAGUGAGGAGAAUUGGGAACAUGGGUUUUUCAUUUGCGGAUGAUCUGAGGACAAUACUGCAAUCUGUGGUUGCACUCAAUGAUUUCUUGGAUCAUACCGCUAUGCUUGCCUUGCCUAAUCAGAGAAGCAUCAAUUAUUCACCUCCUGUUGCCAUGGUUCACUAGGCAUGUUUCUUUCCAUGAUCUUUUCUUUAUCUGUACCUCUGAAGACUACCUUCCUUUGUUGUCUUUCUUCUUCUUCUUCUUCUUUUCAUGCUUUUAUUGGAAAAAUAGUAGUUUUAUAUCUUUGGGGUGGGCGGAAAUUGAUUAAUUUUUUGGGGGAUUUUAGUUUUCUGUAUCUUUCUUGACUGUAAACUAGCAGAAUAAAUUGCAGGUUUUAGAGGUGAACUAAAGACUUUGUAGUUACUUUUUCCUUUUCUCGUGGGCUAGAAGAAUUUUUGUACUUGUGAACCUGCCAUAUCUAUAAACAAUGUUCAUAAGUCCACGUUCCUGCUAAGAGAUGCGUGAUUAGACCUGCAUAAAUUGCGAGUGGAUCAGUUUCUUCAGAUCUCAACAAAUUCACUUCUUUCGAAUUUUUUCCCUUUGAGCAAGCUCAUGAGAUCAAUGCCAAUCUUUUGCAAAAGAAAAUAAAAAAAAAAAAAAGAACUGCCAAUUAAGUUGGUGACCAAAGCUGAUGAAUGAUGUGCAGACUAUACUAUAGGACGCUUGUUGUUGUGUAGUCUCAAGUACUUGGAAUUUAAUCGACCAGGGGCCUUACUUGCUCUGAAACUAAUGUCAAGUAUUGAUUAGGUGCAGAAUGCAACAAAAGCUACCAAAAAAUCGUGGGGCCAAUAAUCUAAUUAACAAGUAGUAAAUGCAAGAAACUACAAAUUUUUGUGUUGAAACGGUUCAAUUUUCUAAUCAUAAGCAUCAAUUUUCAGUGUACUUCAUAUCUUGUGCAUAUGCUUCUGUUUUAGCAGCGGCAAUCAUCGGACAACAGCAGAAAUUGAUAGCAGAAAUGUUUGCGGCAUCGAGUUGGUACUUAGCGUUCAUAGUUUAAUUAAGAGAUAGUUCUCAUAAACUUGAUAUACUAUAUCUUAUCGUGUUUGCAUCCAUUGGGAGCAUGGAUUCAUGCAAACAGAAAAAAAAAAUAAUCUAGUCAUUUCAUUCAAUCCUGCGUCAGUCUGAAUAUUGCCAGACAAUGAACACUGUUUUUUUCGUGACUCGAGCAGAGAUCUACCCGUGAAAUGAAAGCCAAAGGCUGAAGUCACAACCCGGUAAAAUUAAUCACUAGACAACAAGUUUUCAGUGUUUAUUAUAGUACUAGUAUUUACUUCUUUACUACUUCAACUGGAAUAACUGCAUUAGGUUAGUAAACGCUUCUCGAAAAGUUAAAAAGUUCUCCUUUUAAGAAGGUGAGAAUCUGCUGUCAACAGUUUCAAGUGGGCGUCGAGUUAGUGGAUGGAGGUAGCUUAAUAGUCCACUAAUUAUGUAAUUUAACCGCAACAUUAUUGCCCUCUUAAUUCUGCUACUUACAUUGCCAAUUAGGCGUGCUAUCCUUUGCUCGACCAAACUAGUUGUUGUUAUGUUUGAAAACAAUUACUGCAACUGAAAUAUUUCCUUCAUUUUUUUCAAACAAAAAAAAAAACUUUUUAAAAGAAAAACGUUCUAAAGACCCUGAACAAAGUUAUUGUAAAAACUGACAGAUCAACAUGGCCAGUAGUCUUCUAGCCAAAAGGGAUUGAACUUGUUAACCUUAAGGUGAUUUUGACGGCAGCAUAAAAUAAGGCAACACGGGAUGAAUGUAUAUUUACGUUACAUGAAUGAUAGCCUCAAGUGUGAAAGGUCAGGAUGUGAUGAUGGGAGAAAAUUAAAGAAUAUGCAGUGUGUACUGUGUACUGUGGAGGGCCGACCAUGGGGGCAUGCAGGAUGCUCACCCAUGAAUAUUUGCCACUGGCCUUCUUAGAAGGCUUUUAUUUAUGGUCUCUGUUAAAGGUUGGAGAGAAAAGAAGAAGCUUCUUUCUUUUGCAUGUUCCCCCUCUUUACUUUAAUCAUUCGGUUUGUGAAGGCCCAUCUCAUCUCUCCAUCAGCUUUCUUGAUCACAUGAAUUGAGGUGGUCUUUUUUCUCCUUUGCCAUAGGGAUAAUUUCAGAAACCUCCUAAGGUUACUGAUAAUUUCACUGAGCUCCCAUGAGGUUUGAAAAAUUACACAUACCUCUCUUGUCAUUUAAAAUGAUAAUUUUACCCUUAAAUAUUUUAUUGAAAUUCCCUUAUUUGGUAUACUUAUACUUAAAAUGAGUUUUAAAAUUAUUUUUUCAUUCUUUUUCCUCUUUAUUCCUUUUUUUUUAAUUUUUUACCAAUAAAACUGUAGAACUACCACUAUUGCUUCUAGUUUCUAUUGUAACCAAAUGUCAAACAAAUGAUUUUUUUGACGAGUUAAUUUUAUAUGUUAUUUAAUGUUUUUGCUGAUCUUUGUUUUCUAUUUUUUGGUACUAAAAUUAACAAUAAAUAAAAAAAAUGGCCCAAAAUCACCAAUAAAUUAUUAAUAAUCCCAUUACCUGAAAAAUUCAUAAACUCUAAAUGAAUUGUUUCAACAUUUUCUUUUCUAUUUUAUAAAUUUAAAUCCAUAAUAAAGUACCAUCAAAAGUAUCCUAUCAUAGUAAUAGAAUUAUUAUUAUAGUUGUUUAUCAAAUAGUAGGUAUGGAUAUGAAAAUUUAGCAUUUUUUCCUUAUAAUUAUACUAGAUAAUCUUAUAAUUGUAUAGGAAAAUAAAUUAAAACUCAUUACACAAGGGUAUUCUUGGAUAUUCAUUUAAAAAAUUGACCAAAUCAAUAUUAUUUUAAAAUUUUGUUACUAAAACUACAAAUCAAGGGAGGUAAGUGUAAUUUUUCAAACCUUUUGAGAGCUCAGUAAAAUUAUUAGAAAAUUCGGGAGGGGUUUCUGAAAUUAUCCCUUUGCCCUAUUGCCAUGACAUUCAGUUAACAUGACUGUGAAAAUGGUGAAAGUUGAGCUGUGUUCAACGAUGCUUCUUUGGGUUCAUUUAAGUGCUGGGACCUAGGAUCUCGGCCUUGCAACUUGCUACCCCUGCU